CUUUAUUCAAUGUUGACCAGGCUAGCCCAAUCUGCAAGUCUGCAUGCAGGGAAUCUGCAUAAGGCUCUUGAGGGGUUAGGAGAAAGUCAGGAAGCAAGGUCAGAGGAUCUCAACUCGUAUAGGCCAGAUCUUGCCGAUCAAUAUGAUAGCAAGAAUGAGAUCUUCUCCCAAUCAGACAGAGAAAGCAGCAUGGAUAUUCUUGAUGUGAAUGGACUGUCUUUGCAAGAUAAAGGAUGGAUGUCUGCUCCUGAUAGCAUGACCAGUGGCAGUUCAGAAUCUGCAGCUACCCUG
rnacentral:misc_RNA from 1 species